UUAUUUUUUUGUCUGGCUCUUCAAAGAUGUAACUUCUGUGACAUGUUUUGCAGCUUCUCUUGUGCGUGAGAGAGUAAAGGACACUUUGAUUCACUUGAGAUCCCUAGACAUGUUAAAAAAAAAGUGGAAGAAAAAAGUACAAGAAAACACACUCAUGCAACUGCUGAGGUGACGUAACCAGGGAAACCCUGGAAUUGAAAACCUGUCUUCCUGUAAAUGCCUAGCAUGCCAUCAGAGACCCCCUAACUGCUCCAAGUGGGAAGAGCAGUUCAUUCCUUGGUUGUGGCCCUUGUGGAAGCAACUUGCAAAGCAUGAUGGGGAGCUGCUACCUUUUCUGAAUACGAAGUGUAGGGAGAAAACACCAAAGAGGAAAACAAGCAAGAUACGUUAUGUUCUCAUUGUAUUGAAUUUUGUGCUGGAACAGGGGACCCUUCCCUGCAAAGUCGUG
rnacentral:lncRNA from 1 species